rnacentral:rRNA from 1 species
UACGGAGGGUGCGAGCGUUGUCCGGAAUCAUUGGGCGUAAAGGGCGCGUAGGUGGCCCGGUCAGUUCGUGGUGAAAGCGCGGGGCUCAACCCUGCGUCGGCCAUGAAUACUGCCGCGGCUGGAGCACUGUAGAGGCAGGCGGAAUUCCGGGUGUAGCGGUGGAAUGCGUAGAUAUCGGGAGGAACACCAGUGGCGAAGGCGGUUGCCUGGGCUUUGGCUGACGCUGAUGCGCGAAGCG